GAUGAACGCUGGCGGCGUGCCUAAUACAUGCAAGUCGAGCGAACAGACGAGGAACUUGCUCCUCUGACGUUAGCGGCGGACGGGUGAGUAACACGUGGAUAACCUACCUAUAAGCCGGGGAUAACUUCGGGAAACCGGAGCUAAUACCGGAUAAUAUAUUGAACCACAUGGUUCAAUAGUGAAAGACGGUUUUGCUGUCACUUAUAGAGAGAUCCGGGCGUCUUUACCUAGUUGUUAAGGUAACGCCUUACCAAGGCAAGGAACCGUAGCCGACCGGAGAGGGGGAUCGGCCACAUUGGAACUGAGAAACGGUCCAGAUUCCUACGGGAGGAAGCAGAAGGGAAUCUCCGGCAAUGGCCGAAGGCCUAACGGAGCACCGCCGCGUGGGUGAUGAAGGUCUUCGGUUCGUAAACUCCUGUGAUUAGGGAAGAACAAAUGUGUAAGUAAAUAUGCACGUAUUGACGGUACCUAAUCAGAAAGCCACGGCUAACUACGUG
rnacentral:rRNA from 1 species